AGAGUUUGAUCCUGGCUCAGAGCGAACGCUGGCGGCAGGCCUAACACAUGCAAGUCGAGCGCCCCGCAAGGGAGCGGCAGACGGGAGAGUAACACGUGGGAACGUGCCCUUUGGUUCGGAACAACACAGGGAAACUUGUGCUAAUACCGGAUACGUCCGUAAGGAGAAAGAUUUAUCGCCAAAGGAUCGGCCCGCGUCUGAUUAGCUUGUUGGUGAGGUAACGGCUCACCAAGGCGACGAUCAGUAGCUGGUCUGAGAGGAUGAUCAGCCUCACUGGGACUGAGACACGGCCCAGACUCCUACGGGAGGCAGCAGUGGGGAAUAUUGGACAAUGGGCGCAAGCCUGAUCCAGCCAUGCCGCGUGGAUGAUGAAGGCCCUAGGGUUGUAAAGUCCUUUCGGCGGGGAAGAUAAUGACGGUACCCGCAGAAGAAGCCCCGGCUACUUCGUGCCAGCAGCCGCGGUAAUACGAAGGGGGCUAGCGUUGCUCGGAAUCACUGGGCGUAAAGCGCACGUAGGCGGCUUUUUAAGUCAGGGGUGAAAUCCUGGAGCUCAACUCCAGAACUGCCUUUGAUACUGAGAAGCUUGAGUCCGGGAGAGGUGAGUGGAACUGCGAGUGUAGAGGUGAAAUUCGUAGAUAUUCGCAAGAACACCAGUGGCGAAGGCGGCUCACUGGCCCGGUACUGACGCUGAGGUGCGAAAGCGUGGGGAGCAAACAGGAUUAGAUACCCCAGUAGUCC
rnacentral:rRNA from 1 species